CCUCGCCCUCCGUCCUCCCGGAACUCACCGGCGCCGCAGCAGAUGGGCUGAAUCGCCCUCGGGCCUUCUUCUUCCUCUCUACCGGUUACUACACCAUCUCGUCUGCUAUGAAGGAGAGAUCGUGUUGGAAGGAAAGAAUGUGGGCGCUGCUGGCGACUGUCGUGGGGCUGCUUUUGGAGUUCGCUUGAAAUGAUGAUGGUGGAUAAUGAUCAAUAUUUUUUGGUUAAUUAAUUUGAUUUUUCAUUUAGUUUGUCUAUUUAGAUGGUCAAUCUCUUCUGCAAAAGAGGAAAAAGCAGCCACACUCAUUGAUUGGUAGAAAUUAGAAUUGAGAACACGACAAUUGGGAAGUUAUCGGUUAGAUUAGGGAGACUUUUAACUUGAAUAUGUUGAUUCCGCAUUCAUUUGU